GGUCUUGAAGCCAGAGCUUCUUAAACUGGAAUGUGCACAUCACUUGGGAUCUUGCUAGAAAGCACGUUUGGAUUCAGCAGGUCUGGGUGGGACCUGACUCUGCAUUUCUAACAAGCUUCCAGAUGUGAUGCUGCUGCUCCAGGGGCCACACUUUGAUCGCAAGCCUGUGAGCCACGCUGCAAGUUUGGACUGAUCUCGAAGAUACCGGUGAACCACUUUAGGCAAGGAACGACAAGGUCGCAUUUGAGUUUGGCUCAUUCUGCCUGCAAGGUGGAGAAUGAAUUAAGCAGGGCCUGCUGCCACCCUGUGAACAACUAGCCUGAUGGAGGAGGACAGAGCACGUGGCCCUUCCAACCCUGUCACCAGAGCUGAUGGCCAGCCACCUGUGAAACAGGUGAUCAGGGCCAUUCCAGACCAGCCCCUCCAACCCCGUCUUCGUCACAACCGACCUUACAAUGGAUUGAUUGAAACACUUGAGCGAGCCCACCUAAGACCAGCCAACCUUGGCCUAGGUCAGCAGAACCUCUCAGCUGGCCCAUAGCAAUAAUAGACAUUGCUUUAAGCCACUGAGUUAGUGGUAGUUACUGCCUCAGCAAUAGCUGACUGAUUUGGAAGCUUAAAAAAAUACUGGCAUGCAAGGGCUGUCACUGGAGAAAAUGCAGGCCAUCCUUGACUUCGGUCCAUUUGACUUUCAAACAGCCAGACUUUGACACAAACGCUUGACUGGCACCCAAACCACCUUCCGCCCGGUGAACCCACGUUUCCUCCUCAGCUGAAGCGCAGUCAAUGUCAAGUGCGGGCGGCAUCGUCAUCUUCGAGCAGUGUGUUUACACAGCUGUUUGUCUCUGUCCCUGCCUUUGAUCUUAUCUUGUAAGAACACAUGGAAGCUGA